GAUGAACGCUGGCGGCGUGCCUAAUACAUGCAAGUCGAGCGAACAGACGAGGAGCUUGCUCCUUCGACGUUAGCGGCGGACGGGUGAGUAACACGUAGGUAACCUACCUAUAAGACUGGGAUAACUUCGGGAAACCGGAGCUAAUACCGGAGCAUAUGUCGAACCGCAUGGUUCGAUAGUGAAAGAUGGCUUUGCUAUCACUUAUAGAUGGACCUGCGCCGUAUUAGCUAGUUGGUAAGGUAACGGCUUACCAAGGCAACGAUACGUAGCCGACCUGAGAGGGUGAUCGGCCACACUGGAACUGAGACACGGUCCAGACUCCUACGGGAGGCAGCAGUAGGGAAUAUUGCGCAAUGGGCGAAAGCCUGACGGAGCAACGCCGCGUGAGUGAUGAAGGUCUUCGGAUCGUAAAGCUCUGUUAUUGGGGAAGAAAAAACGUGUAAGAAUACGUGGACGUCUUGACGGUACCUAAUCAGAAAGCAACGGCUAACUACGUG
rnacentral:rRNA from 1 species